CCUAAAACCAUUACCCCUAAAACGGCGCUGCUCUUCUUCUCGAAUGGAGACCUUAUCAGAAAAAUCAAAAAAAAUAGACCCCCCCCUUCGUUCUUCAUCAUCACCAAAUAGACCUUUCAUUUCCAAACCAAAAAAUGGAACCUUACCUCCACACUCUCGUCGCUCAAAUACACACACAUAAAUGACUGAAGCAAAGCUAAAAAAGAAAAUUCAAAGAAAGAUCUGAAAAUCACAAAGCUUGAAAACAAAGAAGAACUGAGAUUUCUAAAAGAAGUUUGAAGAAAAAUUAAUUUCGAAAUUCAAUUCCUCUUUUUAUGGUUUGUACGAGAUGUGGAAGUCGAUUUCAUGGGUCUGAAAUUCUGCUGCUCUACUAUUGAUUCACUGUAUUGCUGAGCUCCAUCUUCGGAGUAUUUUGGUUGUUAUUCGAUUUUUGAAGUUGUUUCACUUGCCGCUAGGUACAAUUGAGUUUCACUCUUUCUCUAAACUGCCAAGUGCAGGAAGUAGACUACUUAACAUUGACAAGGCUCACUUACCUAACCUUAGGGUUAGGAUAGCAAAAAGAAAAGAAACGGGUUGAUGCUAGUUGAUACUUUAACAUUGCCUGCCUUGGCUAUCUUAACUAGACUUUGUAUGUUGUGGAGUUGCUUGCUAGUGGUAUUAGCAUGGUUACAUGCUUAAUCUGAUGGUGGCUCUUCAAUGUACGAAGCAAUUACAGCAGGUAGGAGACCUUCUUCUAUUGCAUAUGUGAGUACACAAAGUCACAUACUGGUACGUGUACGUCUUCACACAUGCAGUCAUGCAAGUGGCAUUCAAGAUAACUGGAUUACUACGUAUUGGUACAAGUAUUGGAAAAUUUAUAACAUGCUGGAGGUGAGGUUCGUGACUGCACAUUGUCAAAUUGAAGUGAGGUUAGUUCGAGAUCACGUGAUCUCAUUAGCAAAGGCUACAUACUACACAUAUAUGGGCAGAGUCUUUUAGACGGCUUCUAAGGAGUGGUGUAGACGUUGGAGUUUCACAUUUUUCUUGUCCUUUGGAAUGCAAAACUUGGAGCCUGGUGAGAGAUUUAUAGGUGCUACUGUGGGGUGUUUGCACUUGUCUUGUGAAGUUACAUACACCAUAUUCCUAUUGAAGCAUUCGUCUAAUGCUCAUGUAAUAGCUAGUUUAAUCCGCAUAUUUUUUCCUUAUUGGAGGUUAGAUCUAUUGGUAGUAGUUGAAAA